GAGCCCGCGAGCCAGCGAGCCAGCGAGCUGCGGCCGCGGCCUCCACUGCUCGCGGUGACCCCGGCGUCCCGGUCCGCGGCCCCGCAUAUCCCGGGGCCCGCGCCCCCCCGGGGCAGGGAUGCAUCAUGGCCACGCUGGCUUGCCGGGUGCAGUUCUUGGACGAUACGGACCCUUUCAACAGCACCAACUUCCCCGAGCCCAGCCGGCCGCCGCUGUUCACGUUCCGCGAGGACCUCGCGCUCGGUACCCAGCUGGCCGGGGUCCACCGGCUGCUGCGGGCGCCACACAAGCUGGAUGACUGCACGCUGCAGCUCUCCCACAAUGGCACCUACCUGGACUUGGAGGCCACCCUGGCCGAGCAACGGGAUGAGUUAGAAGGCUUCCAGGAUGACACUGGGCGGGGCAAGAAGCACAGCAUCAUCCUAAGGACACAGCUGUCCGUGAGGGUCCAUGCCUGCAUCGAAAAACUAUACAACUCCAGUGGACGAGAGUUAAGAAGGGCCCUUUUCUCCCUGAAGCAGAUAUUUCAGGAUGACAAGGAUUUGGUGCAUGAAUUUGUAGUGGCUGAAGGUCUGACGUGUUUGAUCAAGGUGGGAGCUGAGGCAGAUCAGAACUAUCAGAACUACAUUCUGAGGGCUUUGGGCCAGAUUAUGUUGUAUGUGGAUGGGAUGAAUGGAGUAAUAAACCACAAUGAAACCAUUCAGUGGCUGUACACGCUCAUUGGGUCAAAGUUCCGCCUGGUGGUGAAGACAGCCCUGAAGCUGCUGCUGGUCUUUGUGGAGUACUCGGAGUCCAAUGCACCUCUUCUGAUUCAGGCCGUCUCUGCUGUGGACACAAAAAGGGGAGUCAAACCUUGGUCAAAUAUCAUGGAAAUCCUGGAGGAAAAGGAUGGGGUCGACACGGAGUUACUGGUUUAUGCAAUGACUUUAGUGAACAAGACCUUGUCAGGAUUGCCAGACCAAGACACCUUCUACGAUGUGGUGGACUGCCUGGAGGAGCUGGGCAUUGCAGCUGUGUCCCAGCGGCAUUUGACCAAGAAAGGGACUGACCUGGACUUAGUGGAGCAGUUGAAUAUCUAUGAGGUGGCACUCAGGCUCGAGGAUGGUGACGAGACGGCUGAACCACCCCCCAGCGGGUGCCGGGACCGGAGGAGGGCCAGCGUGUGUUCCGGCACAGGCGGCGAGCACCAGGGCCUGGACCGCAGGCGGAGCCGCAGGCACUCGGUGCAGAGCAUCAAGAGUCCUCUGUCGCCUCCGUCCAGCCCCUGCUUCCCGUCUGCUCCCGACUUCAAGGCCAGUCAAGUGCGAGAUCUCCGUGAAAACGUCCAGGCCAGCCCUGCCUCAGAGCAGGUCCCCACCGGAAAGGAUGCUGCUCUCGAGAGUCCAGCCCUCCCCGCCACCUCCAGUGCCUCCUCACCGGGAAAGCAGCUCCCGGCCGGCAGUGCGGCGGGGUCCCCCUUGCGCAGAGGGUCCCCAGGGCCUGCCCCGCGGGCUCCCUCCACGCCCUCCCCGGCUUCUCAGCCCCUCUGCGCCGCACCCGGCCCCCCGAAGGCGUCACCAACCAUAGAAAAGCUGCCCUAUGUGCUUCACAGCCCCUUCCACCUCUUCUCCUAUGACUUGGAGGACUCGCCCUUGUCCACCAAGGAAAAGGAAGCCGAAUCCCAGCCGGAAAGCAGUUCCUCUGAUUCUCUCCAUCCGAGCACGUAUUCUGCCUCCGAGCCUUACAACUUCCGGUCUUUCUCUUCCAAUAGAUACAGCAACUUUGGCAACAGCUCUCAUCACUCCUCGAGGCCUUCGUCUGGAUCCAACGUGCCCAUCACCCUCACGUCACCUCUUUCACCUCCACAGGAGGCCGGGCUGGAAAGGUCAUCACUGAGUGGUCUUCUCACGUCAUCCUUUAGGCAGCACCAAGAGUCCUUGGCGGCAGAGAGAGAGAGGCGGCGACAGGAGAGAGAAGAAAGGUUGCAGAGAAUAGAACGAGAGGAAAGAAACAAAUUCAGCCGAGAAUAUUUAGACAAAAGAGAAGAGCAAAGACAAGCAAGAGAAGAAAGAUACAAAUACUUGGAGCAGUUGGCAGCUGAGGCGCAUGAGAAGGAACUGAGAAGCCGGAGUGUGAGCCGGGGCAGAGCUGACCUCUCCUUGGACCUGACCUCACCGGCAGCCCCUGCCUCACCCGCCCCCCUGAGCCGUUGCCCUUCAUCUCUAGACUCACAAGAGGCUCUCACGGUAUCAUCUUCCUCCCCAGGAACAGCUCAGCAUCCCCAAGCGAGCACCGGGGAUCCUGAGCCCGAACCAGAGGCGGAAGCAGAGGCAGAGGCAGAGGUGGGACGGGUGGCCGGUGAGGCCAGCCAGGAGCUAGCCCCUGCCCACGCGGGAGCAGAGAGCGAGGUGGAGCGGGCCCUGGAGCCAGAGCCUGAAGAGCGAGCCUCCCUGAGCGAGAAGGAGCAGCAGAACGAGGCAGUGAACGAGCGGGACAACUGCUCGGCCUCCAGCGUCUCGUCCUCCAGCAGCACGUUGGAGAGGGAGGACAAGGAGGACAAGCGCUCUCGGGACAGGGGGACCGGUUUGUGGUCUGCGGGUGUUCAGGAUGCCGGUGUAAAUGAGCAGUGUGGCGACAUCCUUACCAGCAAACGGUUCAUGCUGGACAUGCUGUAUGCCCAUAACAGAAAGCCCACGGAUGAUGAGGAGAAGGGGGAGGGCGAGACCACGAGGACCGCGCAGGGGGCGGAGGCCGUAGCCAGCCUGGCCAGCCGGAUAUCCACCUUGCAGGCCAACUCUCUGGCCCAGGAUGAGAGCGUCAGGAGGGUGGACGUUGGCUGUCUGGACAAUCGGGGCAGCGUGAAAGCCUUUGCUGAGAAAUUCAACAGCGGGGACCUAGGGAGAGGGUCCAUCUCCCCUGACGCCGAGCCCAAUGACAAGGUCACGGAGAAGGCGUCGGCACAGCCCAAGACGGAAUCUGACUACAUCUGGGACCAACUCAUGGCCAAUCCGCGGGAGCUCAGAAUCCAAGACAUGGAUUUCACUGACCUGGGGGAGGAGGACGACAUCGAUGUCCUGGACGUGGACCUGGGUCACAGGGAGGCCCCGGGGCUGCCUCCCCCACCUCCGCCCACCUUUCUCGGUUUGCCGCCCCCUCCCCCUCCGCCCCUGCUGGACGGCGUGCCUCCCCCUCCAGUCCCCGGUAAUUUAUUGGCUCCUCCUCCAGUAUUCAGUGCUCCUCAGGGCUUAGGGUGGCCCCAGGUACCCAGGGGUCAGCCAGCAUUCACCAAGAAAAAGAAAACCAUCCGUCUGUUCUGGAAUGAAGUGAGGCCUUUUGAGUGGCCGUGUAAGAACAACGGCCGCUGCAGAGAAUUCCUGUGGUCGAAACUGGAACCUAUUAAGGUGGACACUUCCAAGCUGGAGCACCUGUUUGAGUCUAAAUCGAAGGAACUGGCCGUCUCCAAGAAAACUGCUGCAGAUGGAAAAAAGCAGGAGAUCAUCGUCCUGGAUUCCAAGAGGAGCAAUGCUAUUAAUAUUGGUCUGACGGUACUGCCCCCUCCAAGAACGAUUAAGAUAGCCAUUUUGAAUUUUGAUGAAUAUGCCUUAAACAAAGAAGGGAUUGAGAAAAUUCUAACCAUGAUUCCCACCGAAGAAGAGAAGCAGAAAAUCCAGGAAGCGCAGCUGGCCAACCCUGAGGUGCCCCUGGGCAGUGCAGAGCAGUUCCUCCUUACCCUCUGCUCCAUCAGCGAGCUCUCGGCUCGGCUCCACCUCUGGGCAUUCAAAAUGGAUUAUGAAACUACAGAAAAGGAAGUGGCAGAACCACUUUUGGACCUGAAGGAAGGAAUAGACCAGUUGGAGAACAAUAAAACCUUGGGCUUUAUCCUGUCUACUCUCUUAGCCAUUGGGAACUUUCUAAAUGGAACUAAUGCCAAAGCGUUUGAGUUAAGCUACCUCGAGAAGGUUCCAGAAGUCAAAGACACCGUGCACAAGCAGUCACUUCUCCACCACGUGUGCACCAUGGUGGUGGAAAACUUCCCGGACAGCUCUGAUCUGUACUCAGAGAUUGGGGCCGUCACCAGGUCAGCCAAGGUUGACUUUGAUCAACUUCAGGAUAAUUUAUGUCAGAUGGAGAGGCGAUGCAAAGCUUCAUGGGAUCACCUCAAGGCAAUUGCAAAACAUGAAAUGAAACCAGUUUUAAAACAACGAAUGUCUGAGUUCCUAAAAGACUGUGCAGAGAGAAUUAUAAUUUUGAAGAUUGUCCAUAGAAGAAUAAUUAACAGGUUCCACUCCUUUCUGCUCUUUAUGGGUCACCCACCUUAUGCGAUUCGGGAAGUGAACAUAAACAAGUUCUGCAGGAUCAUCAGUGAGUUUGCACUGGAGUAUCGCACCACCAGGGAAAGAGUUUUACAGCAGAAACAGAAACGGGCUAACCACAGAGAGAGAAAUAAGACCCGAGGGAAGAUGAUCACUGAUACUGAUGAAGAGGAUGAAGUUGAGUCUGGCAAGUUCUCCAGCGGUUCCCCGGCGCCCCCGAGCCAGCCACAAGGCCUGAGCUAUGCCGAGGAUGCUGCCGAGCACGAGAACAUGAAGGCUGUGCUGAAAACCUCGUCCCCUGCCUUGGAGGACGCCACCCCCGUGCUGGGCGUCCGCACACGCAGCCGAGCAAGCCGAGGAUCUGCUAGUUCGUGGACUAUGGGAAUGGAUGACUCGCCUAAUGUCACGGAUGAUGCUGCUGAUGAGAUCAUGGACCGCAUCGUCAAGUCAGCCACCCAAGUGCCCAGUCAGCGAGUGGUGCCGCGGGAGAGGAAGCGCUCCCGGGCCAACCGGAAGUCUCCAAAGAAUCACGAAAUAUUGGAAGUGGAUGAGUCCUUCAAUAACACUAAUGUCAAGGGCCCCAAUCAAGAUGGCAGAGUAGAAGGAUGUGGAACUCACCUCCUCCCACAAAUACAUCAAAAAUGCAUCUACAAAUGGAACAAUUCUCACAGAACACCUACUGAACACUAACAGAAGACCUCAAACCCCUUAAAGGACAUGAAAGAUCCCCAUGUAACCGGGUAGAACGAAAGAAAGAAAAAAAAGAAAAGACAAAAGGAAGCAGGAUGGGACGUGUGCCGGGGGGCAGCGGGGAGAGUGGAUAAAGAGGAAAGGUUCCUGCACCCUGGGAAGCCACUUCACCAGUGGGGAUAUCAGCUGGGACAGAAGGGGAGCUUCAGAGGCUCAGAGGAGAACACAACAACCAGCUUGUAGCAGGCAGAACAGAGAGAGACUUGCACAGACAGUCCGUGCCACUGCCCUGUAUGCCCCAGCCUGGGACACGUCUGCUGGGUACUGUGUACAGAGGCCUUGCACCCAGCACCACAGACCAGAGCUCCUGGUGCAAAAUGGCUGUGCAGACACCUCAAUGGACUGUGUGCAGCUCUGUGCAUAACACCUCAACUCAAGAUGGCCUCAGCGGGCCGUGUGCAGAGAGGCUGCGCCUGGCACUAUGAUCUGGAGCGCAAAUAGCACAGCUGUGCUGCCAUGUGAGAACUCCACCCCCUUCCCUUCCCAUGGACUAGAACCCUGUAAAGCAGCCCCACCCACAGCCUGUGAGGGAGAGCUGGACUCUAGAGUGUGAGCUGGCACCUUUCCAUUCUUUGACCAAAGAAUAAAACUUUCCUUUGCUUCUGAACCAAACUCGGUCUUGUUCUAUUGGCUCUAAGGAUAUUGGGCAGAAGGACCCUUGUUGGGGCCUAACUCAAAGGGUUGGUAAAAUAGCUGUGGCUGGUUGUUUUGCCUACCUGACCAGGCCCCAAUAAAAUCUCUGGAAAUUUGAGUCUUAGGCAAGCUUCCCUGGGCAGAAACACUGCACAUAUAUUGCAGCAUUUCACUGCUUAAGGAAGGAGUGUAUUCUACAUGACCACUCACAGCAGGGAAAACUGCAGAAGCCUAUACAUGGCUUCCUUUAGAUGCCACCUGAUAUGUCAAAGGUCAGAUUCCCAGGCACCAGCUGACUGAUACAAUAAACUAUAGCUGGGAGUCCUGUCUGCAUCCUGAAAGUCUUUCUAGUGAAUCACUGAACUUGUGGACAGUUGUGGGACCCCAAAACAUGUAUCCAUCUCUUCAUUUUUAAUAUUUCUGAAUUAGUUUGCUUUAGUUGUUUUGGGAAACAGCAAAAAGCUGGGUUUUGUAAGCUAGAUUUAAAAUCUUUUUCUAUUACUAGGUGACUUAAGCCCAUUCAUAUUUGUUGCUAUGAGGGAUAUGUCUGGUCUCAGCUUUAUCUUAAUAUUUUAUAAUUACAUGUAUUAUAUAUUACACAUAUUUCUUUUUGAGAUGGGUAUCAUUCGUUCUUUUCUUUAAAAUAUUUGGGGGAAUGUAUCAUUUUCUACUGAUGCAU